CCACGAGCAUGACAUCAUUGAGACAUUGACAUCCCGGCCGGCCGUGUUCGCGUUCGGCGACUCGACGCCGGCAACAAUAACCGGUUCAUGACGCUGGUGCGCACCAAAGGGUCUGACCGGGGCCAGAAAUUCAAAAAAGAUCCCUGUACCGCACAGGGCAGGAGAGAUUAGCUCGCUCUAAAUCACCCGGUGUUAGCAACUAGCACAUCAUUGAAUUCGUGUCAGACAUCUCACUUCUUUUUCGAUCCAACGGAAGCUGGCCCCUGGUGCACUGUACCCUUGAGCCAAAACGCCACACUCAUCCCUAUUCAAGCCUGAAUCCCUAUCCCUAGGUAUAUAUACGUACUAUGUAGUGUAUAUAUGUUGGAUCAAGCAGGAGGACUAAAAAAGAAAAAACGAGACCGAUUGUGGAUAUAUCCUCAUCCUGAUCUUAGGUAGAGACGUGGCUGAUGAGCAUCACAUUAAUUAUGUAACGGUGGUAGAGGCCGGGGAUUCAACCUCCUUUUUGAAAAAAAAAUGUAACGGUGGCAGAGGAAGAGAACUCGACUGAGUGGGAAAGGUGGCAAUGGCAUGCGUAUAUAUAUAGAUCGAGAGAGGCUGAGGCGCAGGUACAAUGCAUAAAAGGGCGGUGGGUGGAGCAUGAUACGAAUUCAUCAAUGAAACCUGACAAACUGUGUAGAUGCAUGUGAUAAUUAACUUAAUUAGAUUAGGUCAGAUCAGAUGGCCCCGUGGCAUCACGUACGCUGCCAUCAAAAUAGUCCACACAUCAAAAUUCUUGUGUCGUAUCAUAUGACACGUGGCUAGAAUAUUAGCCCUCAAAACUAAUCUAACAGUAUCAA
rnacentral:lncRNA from 1 species